AGAAGUAUUUACAAAACAUUCCAAAAGCAACAGGUUGGGAGUAUUAUUUAUUCAAAUAAACAAAAAUGUUUUAUUUCCCUUUCAAUGGUAUAUAUCUUAAAUUGCUGGAACAUACAAGUAUAAAAAUAAGAUUAUUUUAGAAAACUCCAGUUUUGAAGGGCACGACAAUAGUUCAGACAUUUGUCAGUAGCUAUGAAGCCACUUUUAACAUGGAAUGAAUAUCCCUUUACUCCAACUCUUGGUCUUAUUACAUUUUUAAAUCAAAUCAGCGUGCUGGAAAUAGAGAAAAAUUCCCAAAGGGAAAUAUAAAAUAAUUUUAAGCAUUUUCAGAAAUACAAGUUACACUUAAGAAACUUGUAUUAAAGGAUGUUAAUCUGAGAUAAACAGAAAACAAACGUUUUGCAAAGCACUACUUUUUGCAUCUGUUUGAGGAUACACAGUUUGCAGCUCUCCUGCCAGAAGCAAAAUACUGACUCUAGCACAGCAGAAAAGGCAUCAACUUUAAGAAAAAAAUGAGUGGUCGCUUUCAAUGACUGAACAUAACAUAUUAAACUUUAAGAAUUUUUAACAAUGCAAAUUAACAGCAAUAGUAGAAAAUACAUCAUUUUAGAUUACAAAAAUUCAGCUUUUAUUAGCACAUGACAAAUCUCAUUCAUUCGCUGCCCUCUCAUAUGUGCUGAGUAACUGCUACACAGAAUUUCAAACCUCACUGAUAUAAAUGUGAGAGAUGACAUCUACAAUGAGAAAAAUGAGGGAAAAAAAUCUCGUUUUAUACCACUAGCAACAAAGAACACAAAAUUGUAUUAAAUUUGUUAAGAAAUGUUAUUUUGUGCAAUUUUCAUGAUAGAUUAAUUAGCUUUGUUCACUUUUUUUCCUCCAUCUUAAAAAGAGAUAAUCUUUUAAUGUUUUCUUAACAUUUCAUUCAGGAACACUAAUCUUAGAAAUGCGAGGCUUGUGUAAAAUUUUACUUUAAUAGGCACAAUGUAGCAAGCGAAACCAUACUCAUAUCAGGGAACUUGCAAUGACCUCCACAUAUAGCACUCAACAGAAAAACAUAUGUCCUGACCUUUGGAGACACUUCCCUGCUUAUGAUAUUCUUAUCUGUCUGUGCCUUGUGAAUAAAAAUGCAUUUUUAUUCCAACCCAAAUGAAGAAAAUCCUAUGGAAAAACAUCAAUGUCAAAGGCUAGGUUGCCAAGGACACCCAAGGUUUCUAGCCUUUUAUUGAUACCACGAAAGUGACAGCUGUGCCCAACUUACUGAAGUCUAUAUUAUAAAUCUGUCAUUUCUAAUUAUAAAUCUACAUUGGAAAAAAUAUUUUACUCAGAUGGCUAUGUGUGAGGCACACGUGUGUUCUACACAGUUUGGACUUUAUCUGGUUGGUCUUACACAAACAAUUAUCCAUCUGUAAAGGGAACUGCUCACUUCUCAGGGCUGCCCUGAUUCCCAGAGGAGAGACAGAUAUUUUACCAUCACAGCGUUCCCCAAGAUGCUGGCAGAGACACCAGGAUGGCUGCUCUCACAAUAGUGUCCAAGAAGUACCCGAGGCUCAACGGGGCACCCAAGCAUCAGGGACCAGGACAAGAUGGACCUUCCGGGGACGUGGAGCCUGGGGAGCAGGGCUCCCACGCUGACAGCAGUGAGACAGGAGGGAGCUCCUUUCCUGGAAGUCUCUGACAGAAGACAUUCUGGAGAAAGAAGCUGUCGGAUGUUCGGAAUGCAUGGGCUGGGCUGGCUCAGCAGAGCUGGCGGAAACGGUGAGGGCCCAGCUGCCGUGCCCCUCAACGACACUGUCAGGUAACUGCUGCCAGGAGCCUUCCAGAUGCUCAGACCCCAGAAGCCACUUUACCGGCCCCCUUUGGCCUCAGUUGCUUGACCCUCCCCUACAAAUUUCCAGGUGCAUGACCUUGAACCUGCCUGUGUCCUGCGUGGGCCUUGAGGCAUCUCUAGUUUGAUUAGGACAGACGUGUUUUACACAUGGCUGUCAAGCAAGUUUCUCUUGGCCUAAUUGUUCCUCUGGCAAAUAAUCAAUCCUGAGAAGUUCCUUUACAAAAUACCUAAAAAGUAGACUGUGCCAAAAACGUGGGGUGAAAUGAGGUGCCCACGGCAUCCUGGGGACGUUCUUGGCUGAUGCGGACCUCCGUGCCCCACUGCCAACUGAGGGGUGGGACCUCUCUUCUGGCUCCUUCUUGCCCUGCCCUCUUUUCAGAUUCUGGAACUUCCCAGGUCCCAGCCAUCCUGUACUCUCCAUCCGUUGAAUGAACCAAUCCUUGCUCCGCGUGGGCAACACCCGGGGAGCAGAGCAGAUGGCUGAAACAUCCACACGUAGCCUACUGUGAAUACAAACGAUACUUCUGCAGGAGGGGACACUUAGCACUUUUGGUGGAAUUCUGUAAUAUAGCCAACCCACCCCAAAAAAAUGCAAAGGGAACACUGAACUUGGCACACAAGCAGGAGAGAGGGGAUACUGUCUUUUAACUCUUCUCCUAAUGACAUCAGGUCAUAUAAGGCUAUGUCAAGGAAACGGCUUCCACUUUUCUUUGGCAAAGGCCUCGAUAAGUGACAGAAAGUAGGGACUGCCCCCCGAAAUAAGGCUACCACUGCACAACUGUUACCAAAGAUUAAACACCCCCAAAGGAAGAAGCACAGAGGUCAACUGCUGAACAAUUUAAGCUGAUUGGAUGGGUAUGCUUGAGGCUAACCAGUUCUGCAAAGGGAAACACACGGUUUCGAAGCACGGGGAUAAGUAGACGUUACCUUGUGUCUUCUGCACAUCUUGCAUCUUCCUUCCCUGACAGCUGGUCAGAAAUAGGGGCAUCAGGCCAUUUCCCUGUUUCCCAACAGGGUAAUAGCCAACCUACUUCCAGAGAAGAUUUGGAAAAAGAGACAACUAAGCUAGUGAAAUAGAAUAGUUUUUUCUCAUCAAAACAUGAUUUAUUAAUUUUAAGCAAGAGUAAGCAUAUGUGAUAGUGGCCAGCUUGGGGAUAGAACUCU
rnacentral:lncRNA from 1 species